GUGAGGAAUUUUGCGCAAUGGCCGCAAGGCUGACGCAGCAACGCCGCGUGGGUGAUGAAGGCCUUCGGGUCGUAAAGCCCUGUCAGGUGGGAAGAAAGGCCUUAAGGAGAAAGACUUGAGGUUUGACGGUACCACCAGAGGAAGCACCGGCUAACUCCGUGCCAGCAGCCGCGGUAAUACGGAGGGUGCGAGCGUUAUUCGGAAUUACUGGGCGUAAAGCGCGUGUAGGCGGGGGGACAAGUCUGAUGUGAAAGCCCUGGGCUUAACCUGGGAAGCGCAUUGGAAACUGUUUUUCUUGAGUACUGGAGAGGAAGGGGGAAUUCCCGGUGUAGAGGUGAAAUUCGUAGAGAUCGGGAGGAAUACCAGUGGCGUAGGCGCCCUUCUGGACGGUAACUGACGCUGAGACGCGAAAGCGUGGGGAGCAAACAGGAUUAGAUACCCGAGUAGUCC
rnacentral:rRNA from 1 species